CCACCAACACCCAACCCCACUUACGCAACCCCCACGACAUCACCACCAAAACCCACCACCCCACAAACCAAACCACCACCCCACGAACAAUGUUCUAUCUUUCACAAACCAAACCACCACUUAAACUACCACCCCAUGAACCCAAACCACAGAAACCCACCACUGAAACCCACGACUCGAAGAACGCACGAAACCCAGGAACUCAAACCACCGUAACCCACGAACUCAAACCACCAAAACCCACCACCAAACCCACGAAACCCAGAUCUGGAAUCGAAAUCCACCACAUGAAACCCACGAACUCAAACCACUGAAAUCCACGAACUCAGAUUAUUGGUUGUGGUGGAUUAGUGGCGACGGAAAGGGGUAGGGGAUGGUCGAAGAAUUGUGCGACGAGUGGGGUCUUGUCGCGGUGGUGCUGGUGCUCUGGGCUCGUCUGGGCUGGUGGUAGGGGCGGCGAAGGUGGCCGGGGUAAGGUGGUAAUUAGUUGUUUAAAUUAACCAAUGAAGCACUGCAUCAUGGCCUCAUGAGCUCGCAGAUCGCAAAAAGAACGCGGGAUAAUGCUGAUCGAUCAUCUUUACAACCAUUCAAAUAUUCCUUAGCCUACAAAGUGUCAAAUUAUACAAGUUGUAAACUUGUAAUGUAGAGUUUGUAGCUUGUAAAAAAAUAAAAAAAAUGUAAUGUUUAUAGGUCAAAUUUGAUGGAA